GAAGCUUAGGAUAGUUUAAACCGAAGGCCUUCAAAGCCUUAAACAAGAGUUAGACCCUCUUAGUUUCUG
rnacentral:tRNA from 2 species